GAUGAACGCUGGCGGCGUGCCUAACACAUGCAAGUCGAGCGGCAGCGAGGGGUGCUUGCACCCUGUCGGCGAGCGGCGGACGGCUGAGUAACGCGUGGGAACGUGCCCCAAAGUGAGGAAUAACUGCCCGAAAGGGUAGCUAAUACCGCAUAUUAUCUUCGGAUCAAAGGAUUUAUCCGCUUUGGGAGCGGCUCGCGUCGGAUUAGGUAGUUGGUGAGGUAAUGGCUCACCAAGCCGACGAUCCGUAGCUGGUCUGAGAGGAUGACCAGCCAGACUGGAACUGCGACACGGUCCAGACUCCUACGGGAGGCAGCAGUGAGGAAUCUUCCACCAUGGGCGAAAGCCUGAUGGAGCAACGCCGCGUGCAGGACGAAGGCCUUCGGGUUGUAAACUGCUUUUAUAAGUGAGGAAUAUGACGGUAACUGAUGAAUAAGGAUCGGCUAACUACGUG
rnacentral:rRNA from 1 species